rnacentral:rRNA from 1 species
CAAAGGUUUGGUCCUGGCCUUCCUAUUAGUUAUUGACAGAAUUACACAUGCAAGCCUCCACAUCCCGGUGAAGAUGCCCUCUAAAUCUAUUAAACGAUUAAAAGGAGCGGGCAUCAGGCACACUAAAUAAGUAGCCCAUAACGCCUUGCUCAACCACACCCCCACGGGAUACAGCAGUGAUAAAAAUUAAGCCAUGAACGAAAGUUUGACUAAGCCAUGUUAAUAUUAAGAGUUGGUAAAUUUCGUGCCAGCCACCGCGGUCAUACGAUUAACCCAAAUUAAUAGGCUCACGGCGUAAAACGUGCUAAGAAUUACAAAACACUAAAGUUAAAAUUUAACCAGGCCGUAAAAAGCUACUGUUAAUAUAAAAUAUACCACGAAAGUGACUUUAUCAUCUCCAACAACACGAUAGCUGGGACCCAAACUGGGAUUAGAUACCCCACUAUGCCCAGCCCUAAACACAAACAAUUUACACAACAAAAU